AAUAAAAAAAAUAAAAAAAUGAUAUACAUUGUAAAAUUAUGGUUUUUAUUUUUUAAAUUAGGCCUUAUUUUAAAAUUGGGCCUCUUAUUAAUUGGAUCGAAUUGCGUUGGGCUUAAUACAAGUCAAUGCAACUCCGGCCCAUUGUUCUUGUCGUCCCCGUCUCCUCCUUCGGCGCCAUUCUCCAGCGUUGCAGCCCUCCUUUUACGUCUUUCGUGCUUCCGCGCUCGGAUCCAAUGGCGACGCGUAGCUUCGUCCUCUGGAUGCACGGGUUGUGCGAUUCCGGAUUGACCAACGAGCCCAUUCCGCUCCUUCUUCUCCGUUCCCGAAUUCAAGCUCGCCAAGCGGUUAUGCAGAUCAAUGGAAAGGGAACAACUUCGUGCUGAUGCAAUUGGACUAACUUUGUUAUGGGUUUCCGCCUUUGAUCUAUAUCGGUAUUUUCCAUACGCUUUCCACUACUUUUUCUGUAUUGUAUCGACGAAAAAAAACAGUUGUUUUGUUGCCAUUUUACCUCAUUCUAUGUUCAAUUAAGAGCGGUAUAUUUAACUAGCUCGGCAUUCAGAUUUUGUGAAAAUUAGGGUGCUUUCAGUGUGAUUUUUGUGCUGUCGAAUUGUAAUUGUAAUGCUUGGUCUGUAUGAAUCUGCUAAAAAAAAGUUUUGAUCUAUAUGUAAAUGUUAUUUCUCCUCAGUCAUCCAUGUUUAGCUUCACAAGUGAAGACAUACUCCUAAAAUUUGUAAUUUUUAACUUUUUGAAGAAUCAAUUUCGGAUGAGUUUCUAGUUUACAAGAUUUUCCUUUUGUGGGCUGAAAGAAAAUUUCUUGAACUUUUAUUAUAUGUAUUGCUGAUGUAAUUGCAUUCUAAAGUUGGGUGUUCUCUCAUUCCUGAUUUUUCAGCUUGGCUUGUCAAAACAGAUGAAGAAUGUCAAAACAGAUGAAGAAUUAUGCUGACAAUGAUUUUAGAUGUUCAGUAAAUAAUCACUGGGGCGAAAGAUUAUGCCAACUAGUAUAACAGAGAUUGUCUAAGUUCUCUGUUGAUUUCAUUUAUCUUUUAAAUUUCAUGUUGAUCAACUUGUAGUCACUUUGGUUCCAGAUUCAUCUCCUUAUAUAGAAAUAUUCUUUAGUUAUGAGAAAUUGAGAACAAAUAUUAUCAAAAACUAGUGAAAUUAUGCACUAUUUUCAAGUCCUUUUUUAUUCACUUAUGUCCCUUCAUUAUGUGAGAUUUGUUAUGGCUGACAGGACUGUGUUAUUUGAGUUGGGGGAAGCCGGACCUCCUUUUCUUGAAUAAGCUGGUAUUCAUGGUGAAUUCAAGGCAAUCACUAUGAUCUGUUUUGCCUUUGCAUCCAUGGAAUUAGAAGAUGAAAACUGAAAGGAGUUCUUUCUCUUAUUUACUUGUAAGGAACAGAAGAGUAGAGAAAGUAUGAUUUCUUCUUUCCUAAAAUUUAUCAGCUCAAAGGCAGACCAAGAACCAGCAAAUCUGUAAUAAUAAUAAAAAUAAAAUUCCUUCCCUUGGCUUUUCCUCCCUAAAGAAACAGGCAAAAAGAAGAUUAAUGAUCACCUUCUGCUCAAAUAUUUAAGUAGACAAAAAGAACACAUUUCCGUUUAUUUUCUCCCUUCUGUUCUUCCACUGCUUUCUCCAAAUAUGCCAAGUUUUUAUCAUCAUCUAAGAUCCUUUCAUUUUACAGGCUGAUCCUAGUGUUAUUCAUUCUAUCACCACUAAGAAUUGCUUCAGCUUGAAUCAUGGAUCAAGACUCGUCUGAAGAGUUCAUCAAGAAGGCCAUCACCAACUUCUCUCAUCAAUAUUCUAUUCAUGCUUGGUGAACCAUGUACCCUUUCUCGAUCAUAUACCGCUAGCUCUGCUAUGGCUAUGCAUCAGCUACCCAACCAUCUUGUUUCCAUUGCAUCCAAUUUCUCUUGAAGGACCCUUAGAUGCCUGGUUAACCGCUUGGAGGGUCUAACCGUUGCAACAUUGUCCGGGAGUAAGAAUUGCUUCAUCUUGAAUCAUGGAUCAAGACUCGUCUGAAGAGUUCAUCAAGGCUAUCACCAACUUCUCUCGUCAAUAUUCUAUUCAUGCUUGGCGAACCACGCACCCUUUCUUGAUCAUACACUUCAAGCUCUGCUAUGGCUAUGCAUCAGCUACCUGACCAUCUUGUUUCCAUUACAUCCAAUUUAUGUAAAUGAUACUUCAAAGCUGCUAUUCAAUUAUCAAUGCUCUCAUUACUGAUAAAAAAAACAAUGACAGGCAACAAUAUUAUAGACUAUAUUCUAUAUGAUGUGUAACUAGUUUGCCU